GACCCAGAAAAAUACGGUACUUUGCAUGCAGUGGAAAGUAGUGACAGUACAUUCAAUUCUGGGCUGUUGCAAAGUGCAGUGUUGUACCAAAUGAGAGCCAUAGGACGGGCGUGCCAGGAUUAUAGCAGUUAAUAAUUUUUUUCCUCGCAUUGCAGGGUCUCGGACUAGCACUGAUCUGGGAACAUCUGCCAAUAGCAUACAAGAGGAAAAUGAGGCGGAGACUAACUAAUGCUCCUCAGACUACAGCCAUGGAAAGAAGAACAUGUGGGUAGAAAAAAAACAUCAGGAGAAAAGGAAAUAGACUGGACAUAGCACUUUUUCCUUUGGUCUAUUAUUCAUCACUCUAUAAAGUAAAACAAACCUUCUGAGUCAGAACUAAUUCAUUUGAAUGUUUCAAAGCAGAGUAUUUUUAAGAAUUUGAAAGUUGCUUUCUAGUUUUUUCUUUGAAAUAAUAAUUUCACUGAAGCCACCUGUUUUCAUGGAAACCUCUUGAUUUUGGUGAACUGGGAUGCCCAUUCUAGGAAUGUAGAAUUUGGUUUCAGCGCUCAUGCGA
rnacentral:lncRNA from 1 species